rnacentral:rRNA from 1 species
GCCAGACUCCUACGGGAGGCAGCAGUGGGGAAUAUUGCACAAUGGGGGAAACCCUGAUGCAGCGACGCCGCGUGAGUGAAGAAGUAUUUCGGUAUGUAAAGCUCUAUCAGCAGGAACGAGACAAGACGGUACCUGACUAAGAAGCCCCGGCUAACUACGUGCCAGCAGCCGCGGUAAUACGUAGGGGGCAAGCGUUAUCCGGAAUCACUGGGUGUAAAGGGAGCGUAGACGGCUGUGCAAGCCUGAAGUGAAAGGCGGGGGCCCAACCCCUGGACUGCUUUGGGAACUGUACGGCUGGAGUGCAGGAGAGGUAAGUGGAAUUCCUAGUGUAGCGGUGAAAUGCGUAGAUAUUAGGAGGAACACCAGUGGCGAAGGCGGCUUACUGGACUGUAACUGACGUUGAGGCUCGAAAGCGUGGGGAGCAAACAGGAUUAGAUACCCCGGUA